rnacentral:rRNA from 1 species
AACGAACGCUGGCGGCAUGCCUAACACAUGCAAGUCGAACGAGACCUUCGGGUCUAGUGGCGCACGGGUGCGUAACGCGUGGGAACCUGCCCUUAGGUUCGGAAUAACUCCCCGAAAGGGGUGCUAAUACCGAUAAUUUCUUCGGACCAAAGAUUUAUCGCCUUUGGAUGGGCCCGCGUUGGAUUAGCUAGUUGGGAGGGUAAAAGCCUACCAAGGCGACGAUCCAUAGCUGGUCUGAGAGGAUGAUCAGCCACACUGGGACUGAGACACGGCCCAGACUCCUACGGGAGGCAGCAGUGGGGAAUAUUGGACAAUGGGCGAAAGCCUGAUCCAGCAAUGCCGCGUGAGUGAUGAAGGCCUUAGGGUUGUAAAGCUCUUUUACCCGGGAUGAUAAUGACAGUACCGGGAGAAUAAGCUCCGGCUAACUCCGUG